GCCAGGGCCAGCUGGCAGUCCUCGAACGUGUAGUCAGUCACGGAGACACCCAAGGCCUCGGCCAUGACUCGCCGCACGUUGCUGGCAUACAGCGCGGGGUUCCUCUUCUCCUCCUCAGAAGGGCUGUACACAGGAAGGAACUCGAUUUCCACUUGGUUGUGAAACUGACACAGCGUGAGCCACAGGAUUUCCAGCGCUCCAGGUCCUUGCCACGUCCAUGUGAUGGUGUCCAGUUUAUUUGGAUAUCGUAAAACCACAGGCUGGACGGGCGCUCCAGGGAUGAAUGCACCAGGUUUGAAGGUAAUUAGGC
rnacentral:misc_RNA from 1 species